AUCUGUUGUUCCUCAGGUUUUGGGGAAAGAAAAAGAAUGUGUAUGUGAUGCAAAAGAUUUCAGAUGUUGAUUUCAAUUUCAGAUUUUUGCAAAACCAGUUUUAAAAUCAUACACUGAAAAUUUCCUUAAGCAGAAAUUAUUUUUUUUAUAAAAAGUCUUUGUCUAACCCUUGAACAUGACUCACCAAUGUGAAAUCAUGGAAGCAGAAAAGUCAGGCAAGUGUACACACAUCCAACACGCACACACACACACACACACACACACACACACACAGAGGAAUACAUGUUAAUAGCUUUCUGCUGGUAUCCAGGGCAGAGAGCAAACACUAAGAGGACAGGAAGAGCCUGAUGUUUGCUUGAACUAUGAGUGCUGAAGUAGCAUGACUGUAAGGACAUGAACUCACAACACUGUACAAAUCACAGUCAGAGAGACACAUGCACACAACUCCUAUCUCAGGAAACACAAACAAUAAGGACAACCCAGGGAGGUGUAGGGCAACGAAACACACGCGCACACAUACACACACACACACAUUCAUACACACACACACUCACACCACUCCUAAGGGAGGCAAAGAUGCCUCGGUGUGUCUCUGGCUCAGACAUUCGUUGUGUCUUCCAGCAAAACACAAACAAUGACAGGAGGUUUGCGUCUCACUGUAAAUAAACCCAGCAAGUCAAGGCCAAGCCUAUUGAGACCAGGGAAGCCCACAGGAUAAAAGAAAAUACUGUCGGUGUGUGCUCCCUCUUACACAAUGUCCCAGCUUCCUCACAGGAAAAUAGCUGGGAUACAACAGACCCAAAAUUUAAACACUGUCUAGAAUAUGUAAGGGCUCCAGGGAGCUAUACGUUUGUAUGUGUGUGUAAAAGGCCACGCCUGUGUAGCAUAUGCUAGCAUGCCAUUAUUCUGUCUGAGGCAGCUGGGGUGCUAGGAACAGUGAAAGAGCCAGUGUGAAGUUGUUUACUGUCACAGACACACCACUUGACCUGAUUUGCCCUCGCAGUGCAGUGGUCCCAGUGCAGAUUUAGGAUCAAUUUUUACAUUCUCUGUAUCCUGGGUUUGGACCAAACUGGAUCCAAAAGAAUUAGUUCUAUUCCUGAUACCUGAAGGUUUUAGGGCACUUGACAACUGAAAACAUUUAUGUGAUUAUGGCAUGCGUUGUCAGCGAUUAUUAUUUCAUAAUAAUUGCUGACAAUUAACGGUAGAUGCAAUUAUUGAGGCAGAAAACAUGAACUGCCAGUGACACAGAACACAGGUAUGUUUUCUUUUGCCUGAAAGAAAAUGUAGGAACCAGGUCUUAGAUAUAUCAUGUUGUAGAUAUACAGUAUUGUGCAAAGGUCAAGAAAAUCUGUAAAAGAUAGUUGCUUUCAAAAUAAAGAUGCUUUCCAAAUAAUCAAAUGAAAAUUUCAAUACGUCAAAUAAAUACCAACAAAUCGUAGGAAAUAGUAUUAAAAAAACAUUUCAAUAUUUAGUGUGACCACCAGUUGCAUUGCUAUGCAUCAGUUGUCUUAGGUACAAUGUUGUGCAGUUUUAUAAGGAAAUCGACUGGUGGUUUGAAAAAAAAAUCCCCUUCUUGAUCUAUCUUGUUUUGGUGAGCCUAUGCCCGCUGUAGCCUCAGCUUCCUGUUCUUGGAUGACAGGAGUAGAACCCAGUGUGGUCUUCCACUGUUGUAGCUCAUCUACCUCAGGGUUCGACGUGUUGUGCAACCUGAGAUGCGUUUCUGCUCACCACAGUUGUAAAGAGUGGUUAUUUGAGUUAACAUAGCCUUCCUGUUAGCUCGAAUCAGUCUAGCCAUUCUUCUGGCCUCAUUGAUCAAUAAGGUCGAGGAUGGGUUCCCUUUUGAGUCUGAUUCCUCUCAAGGUUUCUUCCUUCUUCAUGUUGUCUCAGAGAAUUUUUUCCUUGUCACUGUCACUUCUUGCUUGCUAAUUAUGGAUCUAAAUCAACAUCUGAAUUUCUGCUUUGUGACAAUGUCUAUUGUUAAAAGCACUAAACGAUUAAAAUUAAAUGAAAUUGAAUAAUUAUUGAAUUCAAAUACUCUUCAUCACCAAUGUUGAAUUCUUAUGCACUUGUUCUGGUUGUGAAUGUAGUUAAGUAUCUGUAUCAUAUCUCUUGAUACUGUUGUUAACCCUGUUUCCUUAAUCUACUGUUAUUUUGGUAAUACUAUCCCAGAAUUAAAAAAUAUGAUGAAAAUAAUAGAUCAUGGGACAAAUAGGAGAAUAUAUUCUUAAACUAUGAUAUUAUUGGCAAUUUUAGAAGGAAAGUAAUACAAGGUUGUAUAUAAUCUAUAAGUUCUUAAGAUAGAAACUUGGGACAAUGACCUGUGAAUUUUAUUUUUGGCUUAACUAUUUCCUUCAAUAUUCAGCUUAACAACUGAUUGGCUUUCUUUGAUGUAACACUAAACCAAACUCUCAUCAGAGAACAUUUUCUCUGUAUUCUGAUACUAUGCAAGGCUGUCACAAAUACACACAGGAAAAUUAAAGGUUAACUCAACCGGUUUUGUGAGCUACCAUUCACCUCAUAUGACACUGCCAAUGAUCACGUGAUAGCACUUCAGGGAAGUUUUGACAUGAUAAUCUUGUUAUUUUAGCAGGUAUUGGUGAAACAAAAAAAAAGAAUAUGCAUGUGAUCCCGAUGAUUACAUAUGGCGAUGAAAUCCUUGCAUGAAACCUGUUUUUUGUUCAUUUUAAAGAAAUGGGAUGAAACGCUUUUAAGGCCAACGUAAAAACACUGCUGCACUUUGACGGAAACCACAAGACACAACCACAUGCUUGGGGCGAGUUGCCAUAACCUGCAUUACAAUGCAAGGCCACAUUUAUAUUUGGUACUGUGCUAUACUUCUUUCUGGAGUUAAAAAUGCAAAUAAAGAAAAAUACUGGGAGAAAUAAAAUGAAAAAGACGCUGAUCAAACAACUUGCUUCUGCAAUAUGUGUCGUGGUGUUAUGUAAAGAGACUUAGUCAAUAUCAGUAGCUAGUUUAUACUGUUUGUUAAAUAACUCCAUUUCCUGAACAGUAUUUCUGUUCAUAAUUAUUUUUAAGCUCAUAAUAACGGUUAUUCUAUAAUACAGCUUCAUUUCACUUCUCUUUGAGUUUACUGCAUUGCUUUGCAUGCAGCAUUGUGAAAUGACUCACGGGCUUCGCAAAAACUGAAGGAAGUACUAUGCGUACCUUGGGAGUUUCCAAUAAAAUUGAGUGAAGAAUAAAAGUUAUUUUACAAGAUCCAUAAAUUCCUUUAUCAUUUAAUGAUUUUGAAAAUAAAAAUCACUUAGCUAAGUCAGUUUAUCUGCAGAAACGUAAUGCUGAAAUGCACACAAAAACAUUUAUCUGGUACACUGAUCAUCGGGUAUUUCUGGAAUAUAUUUUAAAAUACUGGUGGUGCAGGGGGUAAAAUUGCUGCCUCAUAGUAUGUGGGUUCUUGGUUCAAUCCUGAGAUCGGGUUACUGUCUGUGCAGUGUUCUCCCUGUGACUGUUUGGGUUUCCUCCAGGUUCUUCAGUUUCCUCCCACUGCCCAACAAGAUGCCAGUACAUAGUUUGUCUCAUAGGUGUGAAUAAGUGUGUGAAUGUACAGAUGCAUGGUGUCCUCUGAUGGCCUGACAUCCCAAUCAGAUUGCAUCCCCACACUGCGCCCAAUGAUCCUGGCAUAUGCUAAAAGUAAAUGUCUAACUCACAUUGUGCACUCUGAGAACUACCGCAAACCGCCUCCCUUUAUGUACUCAACAGCACCUGCCCUCUCACCAGACUUAUGCACUUAUUCAUCAGUAAUUCUGGAUUGUUACAAUGAUUUUCAUACUCAUAUUUUCACAAGAUUAUAUAAGAGAUUAAAAUUGUAAAUUGUAUAAUUGUGGUUUUAGCAUUUCUGUUGAGCUACUGUAUGUUACAACACAUUCCUCUUGGUUUGUGCUAAAAUGGCUGAUAGGUAUUUCAUUUGAACAUGACAUAGAUGAUGCUCUGAAACACUGACGUUUCUCAGACCGUGAGAAAAUGGCAUCAGAGUAAAAGAUCUUGCACCCUCCAGGCUUUUAGUCCCAGCAGGACCCAUGGCUUUCAAUGAUGCGGUGGGGAGUGGGGAGGGGACAUUAGAACAUGUCCAGAUUGUUCCUCUUGCCCUUUUCUAACCUCCCAAAAUCCAGUCAUUAAAUGUCAUUAAGGCAGUAAGAGCCAUUUGUGGAGGCGACACAGCAGAAGGCAGGACUAUUAGUCCAUCAGGGCCAAUUUACAGUCUAUGUGCCUGUUUAGAUGAGCUCACAGGUGAGGCAUGCAGAGAAUGGUAAAGCCAUAGCUAUGGUUCCUGUGAGUUUAAUAAAGCUGCAAAAACACAAAUUCAUUACCUUUUCAGAUUAAUAAUAAAAAUAACUAAUAGGUACGUUGAAAUAAUAUAUGUAGAAAAUUGUAUUGUAUAAAUAUUUGUAUAGACAAUGUGUAGGUUUUUCUUUUUUUAGUGACAUCUAAAGAAAACAAAUUGACCGUUUCACAGUAUUCAAUGGAAUUAACUAGUCAUUUAAGGUUUGCUUUAAAAGUCAGACUGAAUCCAAGCCUGGCUUGAGGUAUGGCAUCUUUUGUCACUUCUUGUCAAACACAGCACUCCCUCCUCUCCAACAGCCCGGGCUUAUCCAGAGUGUGCUUAAUAUGAGUGAGUCUACUUCAGUUUCCGUAUGGUGAACAUAGAAUAGGCAAAAACUUAGUAUAUGUUUGUGUGCAUCUGAGGUGGUGUGACACCUUUCACAUGCUUUGCAUAUGUGGUUGCAGAGGUUAGUAAGUGAUGGCUGAGUGUGUGCAUGUGUGUGUGUGUGUGUGUCUGUGUGUGUGUGUGUGUGGUGUUAGUGCAAUCAUGGUUAGAGCAGGACAGUGUCCUGAGCUGACACCUGCCAACCACACGGCUGUGCAAACAAGCAACAGGUGGCCUCUCCCAGGGCAGACAGUUGACAAUGUUACAGCAGAUAACAUAGUGCUUUUACUUGUUCUAGAAUGACGCACGUUUGAAAACUGAUAAAGAGUUUUGCCCUAGUAGAUAACUAGGUUAUGUGCACAGUCAAACUAUAUAAACAAUAUAGGUCCAAAAACCAUCAUAAAUAAUGAUUGGCAGUGUAUAAUGCUAAAGCUUUAGAUUAUCAAAACAUUAUUCAGAAACCAACAAUCCAAACUUCACAAACAGUGUAAUUGCUUUAUACUGCAGCUUCAUCUGUGACAAGAAUGAAAGCAGAAUAUCCAUGCAGAGGGGGAAAAUGUGCGUAGAACUGUCUUGGCUGCUCUCUUUUCCUCGCUGCUUCAACCCCCAGAGUAGUUGCAGCUGGCACAUAUGCCCCUCUCCCCUCGCCAGAUACCCGUGUGUAUUGAUGGGAACCCCUCUACCCCCCUGGUAGGUUCACCCCCACUCUGACAAUCUCUGGGUGCUUUAGAAACAGUCAGCGCUCUUCUUGAAACGCUGCCAACAGGGGCUGGCCCUAAGCCGGCGCAGCUGAAACUUUUACAAGCUCCCUGCUUGCAAAGGCAGGAAGGCAAAGACAUAGUGAGAGAUUUGUGAAGGCAGUCUCUCUCUCUCUCUCUCUCUCUCUCUCUCUCUCUCUUUUUCUCUCUCUCUCACUCUCUCUGUCUCUCUCUCUCACACACAUUCUGCUACUGCUGCUGCCUCUGUUGUCCUCAAAUUCUUUUAACCAUAACAGACUGUUGGAGUGGACUACUGUUAACUCUGGAAAGGCUUUUCUGUAUUUUUUUGCAACGGGGGUAGAGUGAAUACGUGUUGGCUGCAGAGGGGAGGAGCUGAGGAGUACAGUGGGGAGAGCAAAAUAAAUGAACAUACAACAAAAGCGAACGAAGGGGGCCGUGACAUCACACACUGAGCUGUCCUGGACAAUGCCUGAGAUGAGGACGAGGGACGGCAAGCAUAGCACUUGGCUGUGAAACUCUCUUUUUAUUUCUCUCUCUCAACACCUUCGUCCCAGGAAGAGGGCAAAGUACACCUUUUUGGCAGUCACACUGGAUUAUUUUGGUGACACUUCUCUCUCUUGGCCGGCUGGCCGCCUGGGCUCUGAGCCCCUUUUCUCGCCACAGCUGAACAGGAUUCAUCACAGGAACAACUUACUCCUGCAAGUCACUUUUUUUAAAAAAAAAAUCUCACAUUUAACAUUCUUGCAGACUCAGCGUGUUGGUGUCCUAACCAAAAAGAGGCCAAAAGUCUAGGACUGUGGACUGGCGGAUUCUCGCUCACCUACAAAAGUUUCACAUUUGGAUUGUUUUGUAACUUUUUCCAAAGACUUUUUUUUCCCAAAACGAUUUCUUUCCAAAGUUAGAGCCUGUAUUGCUGCGGGUGUGCUACCCAAAAGAAAAUUUUACUGUUAUGUCUAAUAGGGCGCGAACGUAAUAGGGAAAUUCAUACAAAAAGCACAGGCAACACCAGGGCAGCUAAAGACGCUGCGAUGACUUCUGUAGAAGGGGAACAGAGAGGCAUGUACUACCUGGGACGAAUGCCAAAUGCUGACAAAAGACUUCACUGCACUCUCUCUCUCUCUGGGAGAAAUCAUAGUUCUUUAUUCUAAGGGUGGCUUAAAUCACUGGCAUUAUCUCUUAAUUCGAACCUGCUCCUAGAACAGAAGCCAAAGCUUGUGUAAGUAUACUGAUAUGAUUCUCUUCAUAGUUUUGUUUUCGCAACAAACAUGUGCUCCUUUUUUUCCUUUCUUGGCAACUGUCAUUGGUCAUAAAGUGCUCAUGGUGGGCUGUGUCAAGAUAUGUUGUUUUGCUGAUUUUGGAGGGAAUCCAUUCUCCCUCCAUGCCUCAGGGCCCUGGCAGGCGAACGCCGCGUAGUGCUCGAGAUGAAAUGGUGAAGGGAACCCUACUUUGCCUGGCAACUCUUGCAAAGACAUAAACGCAGUUGCUCUCUCUUACCCAAAAGUUAAGACGUGUCCCAAAAGUAUUACUACCCCAAAUUAUUUUUUUUCUUCCCUUCUCACACGGCUGUGACCUCAUGCUGUCUCUUUCCCAUUAGUUUCCUGGCAUCAUGGUCGUAGUGGGCAGGGAGAUAGGAGGGCAUGGCUGCAGACUGUUACUGUUGGCUUGGUUAGUUUCUCUCGUUUUCUCAUUUUUCUCUGUCCUCUUUUGCCAGCGAAUUAUCAAGACACAGAAAUAAUCUCUCAUCUCCCUCUUCUUCUACCUCCUCCUUCCCUGCCUACCCACCCGCCCAUCGUGCUCCUUAGCCCUUGGCCCGAGUCGUUGUGCCGUCCUGCAGAAUUCAUACUCAGACUUGAUACCAUUCACCAUCGAACUGAUUCAACAUCUCAAUUAAGAGGUUUCUAUUUGUCCUCUUCAAGCACCACCCCCCGCACUCAUGCUGUUCUUUCCACCCUAUCGAGUAGAGGGCCGCCUUUUCCUCCGCCAACUGCCAUGCCAAAACAUUUCAAUCACUGCCCCCAUUAAUUAGGCCAAAGAAGAAUUUUGCAUGUUAAUGAGCUACCAUGGUGCUUUUCACUGUCUCUGGUUCACAUGCUAAUUUAUGCAAAGUGACAGGGCAACUGCCCUACCCCUCCUUGCAUGCCAGUCAAUUGUUUGGACUGCUCCCAUGACCCUUGUCUGCCACCCUCCUUGGGCACAGCUUCAUGCCAGAGCUGGGCAUUGUCUAACUGCCUCAGCUGCCACUGCAGACACCGAGUUAAUGUGAGAUCUGGGGUUUAUUUAAAAUAAUAGCAAAAGAUCAGAUCUGCAGAUCACUUCAGAAUUACAAUCACUUCAGAGUAUUAAUGAUUACCAUCAUUAAACCUGCAUAUUACAAAACUAAAGACAGAAUUUAACUUUUUUGACAUUAUAUAUAUAUAUACAUAUAUAUAUAUAUGUAUAUAUAUAUAUAUAUAUAUAUAUAAUACAUACAUACACACCCACAUAUAUACAUAUAUAUAUCCCAAAUAUAUUGGGAUAAUAAAUAUAUAUAGGAUUGCAUGAACACUUGGGCAGGUAUUAGAGGUUCUCUCUCAUCAGAGCCAAGCUAUCUAAAAUGGCAGCAGGACAGCCAUUUUGUUUGGGCCCUUUUUUAACUUCCUCUGCACUGACUACUUACUAUCAAGUGAUAUUUUGUGUACCACAGUCUGUUAAACAACAGGCUUCUGCAGGUUUCUAAGGGCCAGGUUUUGCAGAAAAUGGGCACUAUUUCCUGGCACAGAUUACUUCUGCUACGUGCCAACCACUGAAUGCCAAUUCAGAGUUAUGGAUAAGAUUUACCCAAAAUGAUCAUGCUUUCCGUCGGGGCUGUGUUAUGUCGGCCGAUUAUUUUGUUAUUCAUUCAGAAAAAGGAACAAAACGAGCUGGGUAAUGAACUCAGUUUCUUACCCAACCACUGAUUGCUGUUUGUGAGUUUAGAUGAAGGGCAUGACCUGACCACUGAGGAAAGAUCAUGGCUGAUGAAUGAAAUUUCCCCCAGGAUUUUUGAACCUGGACCAGGAUUUCUCAAACCAAACCAAAAGGAAAUACAGGAAAAAGAAAUCGUUUCCUCAAGGUGAUACACUGGAUAACUGCUACCUCUCUCAGCAGGAGUGCCAUUUAGAUGUAAGAUCACACUCAUUACCUGACCUUAAGCCAAAGAUUGCUGUGAUAUUGCUUAGUAAGCUUUUUGAAAAAUUCCUUUUAACUGUUUUUUUUUUUUUUUAACAUGUAUUAACCAAAUUCGGUGCUUUUAAUCAGUAAAAAAAAAAAGGACUUCAGAAGGUAUUUUUUCAGCUGGUCAGAAAACCUAUUUGUUGCAAACAGCUAAAAUAUCCCAGAAUGCAUCACAAUAUUACUUUAAUUUACACUAAAUUCAUUACACAUGCUGUUGUAUAAUUCAUUGUGCAGUCUAUGCCGCAAUCUAAGCAGUACUUUGCUAUAUUUUAUGUUUGUAAUAUUUCAUUCAUAGUGCAGCAGCACAUAUUCUCAGUGAUUAAAAUUUCGUUGCAUUGCAGUACAAACAUUUGCAUGUUAUAUUUACUAACUCAGGCCAGGAGAUCACAGAACACUUGAUGUAAAUUGCAGUUCCAUACUAAACGUUUGCUUCAGUAAACUUGCUAACACCAAUGAUUUAAAUGCAGUUCUCAGGCUAUUACUUUAACAAGUUCAGCUUCUUUAUUAUUUGUAAUACUGCAAUACUCAACUCAUGACAUGGUACUGUGGAUGGAAGUGCCAGUAUACUUUAUAAAUAUCCUUGGGGGAAACAUCUGACAAAUGAAUGCCAAUGUACUAUAAUAAUAAUAAUUAUAUAUAUAUAUAUAAUGACAAGUAUGUAUGGACAAAAUAAUUACAUUUUACAUGCUUAAGAAUGCUUUAUAAUUUAUAGAAUAAAAUGAUGGAGUGUGUGGGGACAGAGCAGGGAUGGUGUUGAGCCACAUACUAUGGAGACUGGAACGUGACAAAAGUAUUUGGAUAUAAAAUUUGAAAUUUGAAUUUUAUAUAUAAGUAACAGCAAAUAAAAUUCUCUUUUCUCAAUUCCCAGGGAAAAGCAGACGCUUUCAGAGUGGUCGAACAAAUACCAUUUUUUUAUGUUCUACUCAAAUUGCUAAUUUUCUACAGUCAUGUUAAACACUUGACACUUAUUAUAUGCCCAGAGUAACAAUUUAGGUAACUUUCUAGUUAGUUAGGCUAGGUUAGCUUGCUGGCAAUUGUUAGCAGCUAACAGCUAAAGUUAACUGCUUAAUAGGAAUUUAGCAAUUUCAGUAGAACAUAAAUCUUGCACUUAAGUCAUUAUGGUUUGUAUCUUCUGUUUUGAAUUUUACUCCGUGUCUCUUCACUUCCCCGGCGAUGCCGACUGCUUCACCUACAGCCUAAUUUAAAUAAAAUCUGCAUUUUAAAGACUUCAGUGUAUCAGAUAUUUGUUUAGAAUUUGGAGUUUAAAAUCUCAAAACUGUAACCCUUAAUUUCAAAUGAUAUAUUUUCCAAACAAAGAAAUAACAUUGGCAAAAAUGUAUUUCAAAAUGUUUAAAAAAAAACACUCCACAGGAAAAUGAAUUUAAUUGAGUAUGACAUAUAUAAGUCAUCUACAUGAAAUUCAUAUUCAAAUACUUUUAUCAGCUUCCAAGCUACAUAAGGUACGGACAGUCAGGGAUGAAGACAGAUCUACAUGGAGAUUUCUAGUAGCUUUUGUGUAUUGGGACCAGCAAAACAAGAAAAAAAAUGUAUAGAUAUAUUUUUGACAGAAAAUGUGCAAAAUUUCCUUUGAAACAAAUAUGUCGCAAUUCUAUUAAGUGGCAUGAUACAUUUCUAAUUUUACUAUUAUAUUUCUUUGAAUGUAGUGUGCCUUAUGAUUCGUAAUACAAAGAAUAUGAAAAAAAUUGUAGCUAGAUUAUUAUGUGUAGAUUAUUAUGCUAUAUGUGUAACUGUCUUUCUCCAAACUCUUGUUGUAAAUGCAGCUUUGGUGUGAAAGCUACUGUCCUUAAGGCUGAGGUAGUAGAUUGAAUAGUUGUGGGGUAUUAAUCCUCCCUCUGAGAUAACUAUACAAUCUACUGUCUUUCCUAAGGAGACAGUCUGAUCAACCUCCUGUUCAUGAGUGACUGGACAUCAUGCUGAUUCGACACCUACGCAUGGAGCUUUCAUUUAAAGAGCAAUAGGACAUUAAUUAUGUUGGAGUUGGCAGUUGUUCAUUGUCAGUUGUUCUAUAAUAUAUGGUGUGUUGCAAAAUUCAGCAUAGAACUUUGCUGAAGCUCUAUACAUCUGGUAAUGUGUUUCCACAAGAUGAGGUAGUAGGUUGUAUAGUUUGUGGGAAACAUCACAUCCUAUUGAGGUGAUAACUAUACAGUCUAUUGCCUUCCUUGUGAGACACAACAACAUGUGGAGAAAGAGAAGGAGGUGGUCCUCAACAGUUGCCCACAUUUCUACAUAGCAGCCAUGAAAUGGAGUACCAGUCUGUAAGUCUACUUAUCCGUUGUAUUUCAAAUUUAAAUGUUUACCCCGCCAUAUUAAAAUACAUUGAUCUUACUAUAGACCACUCUGUACAGUGUUGAUGCUAUGUAAUUUUUUUUUCCAGCAAAUUUUUUAAAAUAAAUGUUGAAAACAA